CCUGGUGGCUCAGUCGGUAAAGAGUCUGCCUGCAAUGCAGGAGACCCAGGUUCAAUUCCUGGGUCAGGA
rnacentral:tRNA from 1 species